AGCUUCAAUAGCGUAUAUUAAAGUUGUUGCAAUCAAAAAGCUCGUAGUUGGAUUUCUGGCAGGAGCGACCGGUCACACACUCUGUGUAAACUUGUGUUGUCUCUGGCCAUCCUUGGGGAGAUCCUGUUUGGUAUUAAGUUGUUGGGCAGGGGAUACCCAUCGUUUACUGUGAAAAAAUAGAGUGUUUAAAUCAGGCUUAUGCCGUUGAAUAUAUUAGCAUGGAAUAAUAAGAUAGAACUUCGGAACUAUUUUGUUGGUUUGCGUUACGAAGUAAUGAUUAAUAGGGACAGUUGGGAGUAUUCCUAUUUCGUUGUCAGAGGUGAAAUUCUUGGAUUUCCGAAAGACGAACUACUGCGAAAGCAUUUACCAAGGAUGUUUUCA
rnacentral:rRNA from 1 species